rnacentral:rRNA from 1 species
CGCGUUGUACGAGAUCGGGUCCAGCGAAAGCUGCGUACUCGCUCGCAACGUGCUACCUUCCGGCCCGCGGUGAUGCCCUUCACUGGGUGUCACUCUCGCGAACUGGGACUUUUACCUUGAGGAAAUUAAAGUGUUCAAAGCAGGCUCUACUGGCCUGAAUACGUUAGCAUGGAAUAAUAGAAUAGGACUGGAUGGUUCUAUUUUGUUGGUUUAUAGGACCGCAGUA